rnacentral:rRNA from 1 species
AACGCGAAGAACCUUACCUGGGCUCGAAAUGGAGUGGACCGGGGUGGAAACAUCCCUUUUCGCAAGAACUGCUCUAUAGGUGCUGCAUGGCUGUCGUCAGCUCGUGUCGUGAGAUGUUGGGUUAAGUCCCGCAACGAGCGCAACCCUUAUCGUUAGUUGCCAGCGGGUUAUGCCGGGCACUCUAGCGAAACCGCCUCGGAUAACGGGGAGGAAGGUGGGGAUGACGUCAAGUCCUCAUGGCCUUUAUGUCCAGGGCUACACACGUGCUACAAUGGUCGGUACAAACCGUCGCAAACCCGCAAGGGGGAGCUAAUCGGAAAAAGCCGACCUCAGUUCGGAUUGGAGUCUGCAACUCGACUCCAUGAAGCUGGAAUCGCUAGUAAUCGCAGAUCAGAACGCUGCGGUGAAUACGUUCCCGGGCCUUGUA